GCUGUGUGUAGCUUCUGAAUUCAUUUAUUUCCAAUCUGCAACCAAGAUAGGCAAAGGGAGGUGGCGUCAGCGAGUUUAACGAGGAUCGAGAAGCUAGGACUUGCAUCUUGAGGAUAGGAUAGGAUAGCGGCUAGGACUUGCAUCUUGAGGAUAGGAUAGGAUAGGAUAGCGGCUAGGACUUGCAUCUUGAGGAUAGAAGGAGGCGUCGGGAGAUAAUGAUGACGACAAUGGCGCUGACGCUGACGGUAAGUAAUAACAUUAAUAUUAAUAACAUUAGUAAAUUCUUUAUGUAGACUUAUUUGAACCUUUCAGGUGGCGUCAGCGAGUUAAACGAGGAUCGAGAAGCUAGGACUUGCAUCUUGAGGGUAGGACAGGAUAGCGGCUAGGACUUGCAUCUUGAGGAUAGAAGGAGGUGUUGGAGAUAAUGAUGUCGACAGUGGCGCUGACGCUGACGGUGGCGUCAGCGAGUUUAACGAGGAUCGAGAAGCUAGGACUUGCAUCUUGAGGAUAGGAUAGGAUAGCGGCUAGGACUUGCAUCUUGAGGAUAGGAUAGGAUAGCGGCUAGGACUUGCAUCUUGAGGAUAGAAGGAGGCGUCGGGAGAUAAUGAUGACGACAAUGGCGCUGACGCUGACGGUAAGUAAUAACAUUAAUAUUAAUAACAUUAGUAAAUUCUUUAUGUAGACUUAUUUGAACCUUUCAGGUGGCGUCAGCGAGUUAAACGAGGAUCGAGAAGCUAGGACUUGCAUCUUGAGGGUAGGACAGGAUAGCGGCUAGGACUUGCAUCUUGAGGAUAGAAGGAGGUGUUGGAGAUAAUGAUGUCGA
rnacentral:lncRNA from 1 species